AAUGCUUAGUGUUAUGUAGUCUUGAUCAGUAUCCAUUGUAUAAUCCUUCACAGCAUGGCCACAGUAUUCUUAAAUGAAGAGUUCUUCGAAACAUGAAAAAAAAAAAAAUGUAAUGAUGUAUAAUUUGGAGAUAUAUUUUUUAGGGAUUAAAAGAUUAAAUUUGAAGCGUAUUCAGUAUUUACAUAUUAAGAGAAGUUAACAAAAUAAAUACAGAAACUAUGGAUAAUAUGUAAGUAAUGUGGAGAUCAUGUAAAAUAUGUAAAUAAUAAAUUGCGGAGGCCCAGUUACGACACGUGACAGGCCGCCUUAAUGUAAACAGCGGCAGUGGGGAGGCGACUCGCGCGGGAGUGAGGGAGACACGCUUGGGAAACUUUUAUUUGUGUGUGUGUUGUGUGUGGAGAAAGGAAAGACCGUGCCUCGAGAUAAGACUACAGUACUUCCACAAGACAGCUGGGAGACACGCCUCGCUCCAUCAGUGUGGACGUCUGUUUCGUGGUGGAAGAUGAGAUUAAAACAGAACCUUGUGCAGCUCCAUUGCUGAAGAGUUUAUGAAAUAGACAGGAGCAGUAGUUCGGCGUGAAAGAAACUUGGAUUUAUUCUUCAGAUUAAGUGUAACACCAUGGACGGCGCAAGGCUACUCACCUGACAGUGGCGUUUGCGGGACAGGAAGUAUCCGUAGAAGGCCACAAUAUCUGACCCGGAAUGGUACGUCAUGGUCCAGUUAAUGAAGGAACUCAUUCGGCUAGCCCUGACGCUGUUCAAGUGAAUUCGGCCAACGUCUGAGAUGGGCGACUCUACAGAGACCCACACCCAGCGCUGGGAGUUGGGGCGGGGCAGGUUUUUCAGGUACGGUU